GUUAACGAUGCAUUCCUUCAUGCCAAGGUUUUCACGUCUCUUUCAAUGCCAUGAUCAUAAGUUCGAGAUCCGUACAGAAGAAUCUUUAGUUCCAUACAUAGUUUCAUCCAUUCCACCUGGGGUUACAUGAUCUCACCACACUAAGACAAGUUGACAAGGAGAACACAGGCGAAUACGGGCCACUUAUUCUAUGCAGGUCUCAGAUUCUGAAAUGCACCGAGUAAAUCGAACAAAAACACACCGACAAAACAUCUUUGUAAUGACUAUGUGAUCAAGCUACCUAAUUCUGUGUAUGUUUGUGUAGGAAGUAACCUCUACACAGUUUCAAAAACAGAUUCUAGAGGUGAGUGACAUUGUCAUGGCGCAGAAGCAUCUUCGGUUCUAGCCGGUUCCAUCAAGUUGACCGUGAGAAAGAAGAUGUGCCAUGUAUUGCUGCAGACAAAUAAUGUAAUGGUAGAUUUAAUGACUAGUAAGCUCACGUAUGAGUAAUCAACCUGCUACUUCAGAGCAAGUCUGCCAUGGAUUGGGAAGUGAGAUGUGGCAUAUAUAAAGUACUUAUAACAAGUUAGAUACACAUAUGCCUCUUUAUUCUACAACCAGCUCGACAACAUUCCAACAAUUUAUCAUAACCGCAACCAUAUGUCAAAGGAACUUUGAUACUCAAUUCUGAUGAAAGCCUUUCAAAUCUAUACUGUAAUGUUCAUCCGCAAAAAUCAACAAGUUCUAAAUUUUCAAGGCAAACUGAAGCUCUAAGUAAAGGUAGAGGUGUAAGUUGACUUACCGCGUGAUAUGCAUAUGGUGAUUUCCCCUGCCGAUCAAAAUGCUUAGACAUGACGCAGAACUCAACUGGACCCCAUUCGUCUACUUCGAAGCAACUGCCAAGGGCUGCUUUGUACAACUAUGACAUCAGACAAAACAGUCAAAUCAGAUAAAAACAAUCCACCAGAUAACUGUCCCAAAUAUCAAUCUAAACUAUCAUCUGUAACAGACCUUGGCCGUGUCAGUUAAAAGCUCAGUUCCAGCAGGAUACGCCGCAUAAAACUGAUCAUCCCUAGAGAAACCUGCUCUAGUUCUGCAACACAAAGAGCAUAGAAAUCAUCACCGAAAUGCAAAUCAAAUUGAUAAAGGAAGAAUAAAAUGCCGAGCACAGAUGACAUCUAUAUGAAUGCAGUGCGCAAAAGUAAUCUCAGCCUGAUACAAAGAAAAAACUCAUCUCUAAUAGUGCGAGUACAAUUAGGCACUUCAAUUGUGAAUCCCCAAAACCAACUAAGAUAAGAGAACAGGGACAAUGAAAACCCAAAACUCAAUAAUAGCAGGAGAGAAUUGGAGGAGACGAGAACACACGUAUUAUUGGUAUAUACAUAGGUAAGGACAGCAGUGAAGACAUAGAAUCCUGUGUACGAGACUACUCUACGAAACUUCUGAACGUUCAGUAUCUCUUUGAUCCCACUGGCAAGCAUCAUGCUUUUGCAGAAGCAGCAGCACCACCCUGUAAGAGAGACGACAAGAGCUCAUCCAAGUGAGACAUUCAAUCGAAACCGUGAAAGCAAAAAUAAGCGAACCACUAAUGCUGACCAUUAAUUAGCUUAAUUAACCAGAUAACAUCGACAUAAGAACAUAAAUUAGCUGGGAUUAUCUUCAGUAAGUACAUUGGGGUUAUCAUCCCUAGUUCUUCCAACUCGCUCAUCAUUAUAACUUUCAUAGUUGUUGUGCAAUUGUUUCUUCACGUGAGCAGUAUUUGUGGACUUUGAAUCAGCCAACUAACGAUCGAUUUUCCGCUGCAAACCAUCAGAGUACAGAGAGAGGACAACCAACUUACCAGAUUAAGGAGAUGGAUUCCGAAAUGCUUAGAACAGUUUCUAUGCCCCUUCACUCUUGCAGCAGGGUCGUCGUCUUCGUCACUGCUACAACGGUGCCGUCGCCAGCCCCAAAAAGGCAAAAACCUUUGGAGAAAUAGGGAUUUUGACUUGGUCAAAUUAGUUUUGAGAGUUUAGUUUGAGUUAAUUAAGUGGGUUUGGGCCACAUGGCUUGGGGAGCCCACGUCCCAAAGGAUAUGGGCCUUCUCUGCAAUGUGGGCUAGCAAACACGAACUCGCUCAUCAGAUUUCUAGUUAGGUUUUGGGUGGUCGUAAAACUCGUCUUCCGCCACUCUUCACUACGACUGCCCGGCGGUGCUUUCUCCGAUCUCUCGCGUGGCUGGUUCUGCGAUUGUGGUUGAUGAAGCAUCGCUCGCGUUCAGGUUACUAUUUCAUCUGUUCCUGCUUUCUAGGGUAGAGUACGGUCAAUAUGCACAGGUUUCACCAUCUCCUAACUCGACUAUCUUCAACCACACUCCACACUAGUCGAUCAUUUCGUCCCCAGACAAGUCAAUUCAUUACGACCUGUGGCUUCUCUUCUGAGUCGGGAAACGGUGGCGGUGGAAGCGAAGGAAAUGAUGAAUGGGCAAAUGCUCCCGGAAGCGGGACAUUUGGUCAGACUGCAUCUGAUGAUCUAGGUUGGGACUCCGUUUCAUCAUGGUCGACUGGAUUGACCAAGGAUCAUUUCAACGGUGAGACGGUGGGGAAGAUGGCUAGUUCGUCUUCUUCAUCUUCACAGUCUCCUGUGAUAUCUGAGCUGCAAGAGAUUGACGAUAGGAUAAAAGAACUGGAUGCUGAAAACAGGAAGGGGAAAUUUUUCGUUGAUGGAUGGGAGCAGAGAUUGCUGGAGACAAGUGUGCUGUUGAAGCAAGUGGAGGAGCCUGGGGCGAGAGGAUCCUACCUUAAGGAUUCAGAGAAGGCAGAGAUGUAUCGGUUGCACAAGGAGAACCCUGAAGAGUACACUGUUGAGAGGCUUGCUAAGGAUUACAGGAUUAUGAGACAGAGGGUGCAUGCCAUUCUCUGGCUCAAGGAAGAGGAAGAGGAGGAGAGAAAGCGUGGUCGUGUUUUGGAUGACUCAGUUGAAUUGUUACUUGAUACCUGCCCAGAGUAAGUCUCAAAUUCCGACUUUAGUAUGAAUUAUUCAAACAGAAUGGUUGUUAUUAGUUGAUGCAUUACAUCACACAGUGCUUCAUACCUGCAUUUGGUCACGUUGGCUUAAAAUUUUAUAUACAGGACUUUGAAACAGAGAAUACAGUGCUCUUCUCAUGCUCUCUUGACUUGUUAUAACGAACUCACUGAUCAAAUCUCUAUUAUUCUAAGCUUGGUUUGGCAACAAGAAUCAUGAUUCUUAGGAAAGUUGAAUUGAGAUUAGUGUAAAAAAGUUGAGUUAGAAUAGGGAGGGAUUGUGGAAUGGAACUUGGAUUAAGGGAGAGAAGGAUUCCAAGUGGAAUCUGUUUCCAAAUCUAAACUUUUUUAGUAACCCUUUAUAUCUCUUGAUUUAGCAUUCCUUUCACAACCCCUCCCAACCUCAACUCAACUGUUUUCCAUUAGUCUUAACUCAACUUGUUUAUGAAUCUCGUUGCCAGAGUUCUUUGUAGGAGAAAAGGCUGAACUUGUUGUGUACGGAGAAAGAAUAGGGUGGUUACCAAUAAUUGUGUAGGAUGAGGGAAGGGAGUCAUGGUUACCCGAUAACUCAUUAUGUCAUUUUCAUUUACAUGUUGAGCUGUACUCUAUUUAAAGUGAACUCAGUUGUCGUCCGUCCAUCGUAAUAACUUUGAUACUUCCAUUGGCAGAUUCUUCAAUUCCCAUGACCGGGAAUUUCAUGUAGCAUCCCUUCCUUACAAACCUGAUUUCAAGGUGAUGCCAGAGGGAUGGGAUGGUACUAUUCGUGAUCCAGAUGAAGUUCACUAUGAGAUAUCCAAGAAAGAGGAUGACAUGCUUUACCAAGAGUUUGUCCAGAGGAUGGAAUUCAACAAAAUGAAAGUAAGCUCCCAGGGUUUUGUUCUACACCAUUUAAGUUUGUACGAAAUUAGGAAUGAACUCUAUCAGAUGCCUCUCUAAUAACUCGUCAGUCAUUUUGAUAUCUUCUUACUUAGUUCACGUACUUUCUAUUACUAUUUGUCUGCAUACAAAAAUUCUCGACAUACGUUCCUAACCCCACCGCCUCUCCUGGCCCAAUGGGACCUUGCUCGCUUGACAUUUCAUAUGAUCUGGUGCAAACAACUUGUUUAGCAUCUUCUUAAUUGAGGAGAAAUCAGGAGAUGUUAGUUCUGGCUGUUAUUUUGUGAUACAAAUUCUUGCUAAAGAUAAUGAUUAAGAACGUAACCGAUUUCCUUCACCAAGGUCAGAAGGAUCUCCUGCAGUUUGGUCAUUUCUAGUCCUUGAUUAGAUUGCUUGUUUUUCUAGCCUCCAUUAAUUAGACUCGUAAACUUUCUGAAUAGUAGAAUGAUCAUUGUAUUGUAUUUUGGUGAUUGCACAAUGCUAUUAGGCUUUAACUACUAAUGUAUCCUGACCAAACUAGUCAGACUGAAAAUACCAGAACGUUAGCUUUCAGAAAUGAGUUUAAUUCACAAGUAGCCUAGUUUCAUAUUCUGCAAAUGAGUUGUCCAAAAUGUAAGUUCUAAGUAACAGGGACUCCCGCCGGUAUAUGGUGUUUUGAAAUGAUAUGAUUUCCUUUGGUUCAGAUUGCUGGAAUGGUGAAGUGCCAUAAGUACAGUAGGCGGCGCCCAUCUGAAGGCUGGAACUUCACAGUGGAGAAAAUGGGAGCUCAAGGGAAACGUGGAGGUGGGGGUGGCUGGAAGUUUGUAAGCUUGCCAGAUGGAUCUAGCCGACCUCUAAACGAGACAGAGAAGGUAUACGUGAAAAGAGAGACUCCACGACGGAGGCGCAAGAUUUUCCCUUGAUCGAUCGAAUCUUGUACUGCUUGGGAGAAGCUGACGAAAACCUGUAGGAGAAGUUGGUAAGAGGACCAUAUAAGAACGAGAAAGUAGCUGUCUUUCCAUGCUCGCGUGAUAGUUUUGUAUUUCCAGGAGUGCAAAUCCUUAACCUUGCCACUUCACUGGGGACUACACUGUUUUCUGGGUUGCAUAUGUUGAAUUCAGCAAACAUGUGAUUUGUAUCACAAACUGUUUCCUGGGUUGCAUAUGUUGAAUUGGAUACCUGAAAACAAGUGACCCAUUUUCAAUACUGUUUUGGCGGUCUUAGGUUGUUAAAUUUUAAAGUGUUAUUUCAGUUUUCCAUUGCGACCCCUUUACUUCACUCCUACAUUGUUUUAUUUGAAAUGGAAUGUGUACUGACGAUUUCAGAGGAAAUUUGAAUGGUUGUAUAAUAAUAUGUAAUGCAAUUAGUUAUGUAUUGUUUAUCAAGUAAUAUAAUUAGGUGGGCUAGAUUUCAUGUAUGGUGUGUGGGAGUGGGUUAGUAAUCCCCUACACUUUUACUCAUUACUGUGAAGUGCGGACCUAUUCAAGAGAAUUUUCGAACAUCAAAUACGCCAAAACUCUUCGAGCGAUUAAGUUGGCAAUCGUUGGGCAAACGGAUCAUGAAGUCGAAAAUGGUUAUGUUGAAGCAGUGAAGAUUGUACUAUUUUGACUGUACCAAAAUCCGUCUCAUCGAUCCAAACCAAAACAGCAUUGCCCAUUCUAAAUUGCAAAGGUUAAAUGGAUGCAGCCAACCAAGCGACCCAGUCGUCCAUUCACAAGCAGAUGAAUUUACAACCACGAAUUCACUUCAUCAACUUCAGCACUCAAAUCACUUGCCCCUUUUUCCUACCAUUUGUCUUAGCUGAAGAGUUUGAUUGUACAGGUUCAGCAACUGCUGCUGCUGCUGCUGUUUCAUCCUCCUCAACUGGGGUGUUCCCGACCUCUAGCCGAGCCAUUAAAUCUUGAAGCUGCAAAUAAUAAUUCAAAACCCAUCUUGACCCAUACACACACACAGAAAGAGAAAAUUUGAUCUGAAAUGAGACAGCAAUUCUAACCUGUACUUCCAGUAUCUGGAUUUUGUCAUCCUUCAACUUCAGAGCCUUUUUCUCUCUGUCAAACACCACAAAUCAGUUCGGUACGAGCAGAUAUCAGACAUUUUCAAGAUCAGCAACUUUAAGGGUAGAUAUCAAAACUAUCACUCUAAUUAAGAAACAAAACUCAAUAGGAUAACUAUUGUAAAAAAAAAACUCAAUAGGAUAACCAUAAUAAGAAUUGGAAUACAAUUUACAUCUACUCUACACAAACUAUGAUUCUGGUAUGCAUCAAAUGAAAACAAUUAUCGUAAAAGACAAAAAAUACCUCUCCUCCAUCUCAGCUAUCUUCACUUUCCAGAUCUCCUUGUUUUUCAGCAGAUUUUCAUUGAGCUACAAAAACCGAGAGACGAGUCAUGUCAUUUUUUUAAGAAGUAAAGACUAUAAAAUUAUUCUAGCCUUUUUUUCAAGCCAAGCAAAGAACAUUGAGACUUACUUCAUCAAGAAACUUCUUCUCCCUGGUACAUUUUUCAAACCUGGCCUGUAAUUUUUGUAGUUUUGAAUUGACAACCUUCUUAACAGCUUCAGACUUUUUUCUAUCAGUUUCUUCCUUCACCUCUUGUAGUAAAGUCUCAAAAUACUGCACAUUCAUACAAGUACGGUGAUUCAAAUGUGAUUGCUUGAAGAUCAAUACCUCAAAGAAUAAAAGGAGAAAACAUAAGGAAGAGUCCAGUGACACAGACGAUUGUAAACCUAUAUUACAAAAUUAUACAACACCAGACAUGUACCUGCUUCUGGUUUUCAAGUUGCGUAGCCAGGAGUUCAUCAUACUCACUAACAAUCUGCACACAGCAAUCCAAUAACGUUGCAUCAACAUACUAAAAAUAAGAACAAACGCAAAUGAUUUAAAUCCUUGCUAUGUGGAGAAAAAAUUUACUGCUUCAACUUUGCUGCCUAACAGAGUCUCAUUGAUUCCUGAGUUCACACAGCUACAACCAUCACCAGCACGCGCACAAUGGGUAUGCAACUCAACUAACUUUCCAUCAGUUUUUGAUUGAAUUAGUCUGUGAACGUAAUUAUCACCGGCAUAAUCCCAUACUCGCUGUGUUUCCAAUUCAAGAGAAUAGCAGUGUUCUGUUUCUUUCCAAUGUCUUACAGCAUGUCCUUCCAUAUUCCUACAAAUUUAUGACCGUCAGUGAAGAUAACCAAACUAUAUAAAAGUAUGCAAACAAGGCCUUGUACAAAACAUAGCCUUAGUCAAGUUAAGCGAAACAAUUACCCCUACCUUCCACAACCAACAAAACCGCAGAUUACACACAUCCAUAGAUUCUCAGAAGUCUGACAUAUAAAACAUACAGAUUUCUCCGGCUGUUGCUGACAAUAUCGACAAACCUGGAAUAAAAAAAUCUUACAUAGUAAGUAUUUAUAAUUCAAGAAUAAGUCCACGAAAUUCAAGGAACACAUUUAUGUGAAAUCUACCUGCAAACCAUAAGGAACACAUAGGACAGUAGUUACAUGAAAAAUGUACAGUGAAGUUGGUAAGACUUACUGGGCAAGAUGAGUCAGCCCAUUUUGAGAUGCAAGAGCAGUGAAAUGAAUGAUUGCAUAUGGUUGUAAGAAUUCCACCCAUGUCUUGGUCUAGUCUCUCUGUUACAUAGAGAAAGUAUAAGAGCACAAAGUUACUAAAUUUCAGAGAGCUAUCUCUAAGAUAAAAAUAACAAGCAUAAGAUUGAGCUUUCACAAAGGGCAGCAACAGUUACGAGAUAUAGCAGAAAAACAUAGGGCCUAGAGAAGCUGUCUAUAUUUUGAGGGUUUCAUCGAUUUUUCUAAUGAGAUCUAACAUCCUCCUACAUUGCAGUUACAGUUCCUCUCACAUCAUUAUAAUGCUCAUACAGGUCUACAGAUUUCCAAAGUUAUGUAAAUGAUUUACCGAAUUGGCGUUUAGGCAAGCCAAACUGAAAUUUAAUUCACUUGUGCAUUUUUCUUUUUCAUGAAACAAUUGUAUCUUCAGAGCAUACUUGUAGGCAGUCCCUCCCAAUAUACUUGCCCUAACUUUAACGUUGCAGUAGCCUUACCAAUGUCAAACUAAUUGAGUCCAGAGGUUGGAAUAGGCUUUUGGAUCUAUGACAUGACAUUCUUGGUUUACAGCAACUACACAUUUAAGUGGAUCAAAAUUUAUUCUUCGGAUUUGUAAUUUUGAAUGAAUUAUGGCAUUUUCUGUCCUUACGUGAACUUUGUGGGAUAAGAUUAGAAAUAUCUCUCUAUGUUUUACCAUAAUGUGCUCAAGUAAGUAGCAAGCAGAACAUAGACAAGUCAUGAAAUAGUAAACAGGACAUGGUUGAGAUCAGCUAACUAUACCGAGACAAACUGGACAAGAAGACUGCUCAGCUGUGCUUGUUGGUGAAUGCUGACUAUGUUCAAGAGAACCACUAUAACCAGUGAACUGCACAUCAAUGGUAAAACAAACGCGACAAACUUCUUCCUGCAGAAACAGAAAGAACCGGUUAAAAUAAGUAUAGUCCUUCUGACAAUAAGAGCUUAAACUCACACGAAGUCAAGAACACUAGAACAAACUGUACCUCUAAAGAGUUGAAUUCUCUACCAUUGAAGUGCAGGUAAAAUUUAUCAGUAGAGUCUUGAUUUUGAAAUCUCAUCAAAAUACUAUAUCUAUCUUCCAUCUCGUCGUUCCUUCAACGGUCAAUGAAACCACAAGAAAGAAAGUAUGUUCAGGAGGAUAAAACAACGCUUGGAGCUCAAAUAAUUAGUAAUCAUACAUUUUCCAAAAUGCUCGAGACAAAAAGAAUGGUUGUGAUUGUUACCUGACGAUCCGCAUCUCCAAGAUGUUUCGAGUAAAAGAGCCACAGAACUUGCAAAAAUCAGCAUACGUCAUGUGAUUUGGCACCCCAAUCACCGAAACUAGAGGCUUCCUUCCAAUCUAAUCAAGCAGAAAAAGAACUUAGAGUUGAGUUCAGUAAUCAAAGCAUGUCUUAAGAGUAAACUCUUCCAAAACAGAUAAUCACAACCAAAGAAAAUUGGAACGGAGAAGCAUCACCGUACAGGAAGAUGGGAAGGAGAGUCUUCAGAGAAAAGAUGCAUGAUCCCUCGCGUCUCUUCGAUCCUGGGGUUUCCGGAGGAAAAAUGGAAGGUUUGAGUCCGAGUAGUGGAAGACGAAGUUGAUGGGGAGGUUUCUAUAGUGUCGCCGGAGACGACGGCAGAAACUGGUUGCCGCAAGUGAUCGGGAGGCGAGCUUCCUCCAGGAAUUGACAUGCUUGAGCUUGUAGAGGACAUGUCUGUGAACUUCGAUUGGGAAGACAUCUGAUGAGGGAUUCAGAAUGAUCAGAGAAUCAAGUUAGCUGAAAGUGACGAGACAGAAAAUGGACGGGAAAGGUAGGAAACUGAACUUUUAGGAUCAAAGCUGGAAAAAAAUUCUGCGAGCAAAGAACCGUUUCCUGCCGGGAUCUAGUUUCUGGAGAUGAGUCGUUUUGCGUAUCAAGAAAUGACUUUGGGCCGGUUUAACUCGAUCCAGAGUCUAACUUUAGCCCAGUUUGUUACCAAUCGUUCAAUGUGUUCAUUUCUAAUAGCAAUAACCAUUCUGGUUGUUAACAAGAUGGUAAACAACGGGCCAUAAAAUAUAUUUCAAAUAGUUGGCCAUAAAAGAGGCAUUGAUUUUACGAAAUCAUAUGGUUUAGGGAUUAUUUGUUUUCGAGGUUUUUUUUAAUAAAUCAAAGAUGAUCGUUUCAUUAGAGCAAACAUUUGAGUGAUUACACUAGUAUAAUUGGAAGCCACUUUCUAAUAAGGUCACAAAGGAGAAACAUGUAACUAGUGUGGUUAGAGUACUUCGCAUCUUCAAUAUUCACGAUCAUAAUUUGCUUUAAACUCGAAAAAUUAGGCAUAUAUAAUUACUACCUCCGACUCAAAAGACACCGAAACUACGACAAAGUAAGACAACGUUCAUCAAAACCAACUCAACAAUUCAAACAAUACAACAAAUUAAGAAAAUAAAGGGGUAGUGGGUCACACAGUCGCCCAUGGUGGAAGGACCGGUAAUCCACCGGGCUUUAGCCUUUAGAGAUUUGGGAGAUUUGGACGAGUCAUCUCCAGCUGACUCGCCUGUACUUCAAAGUCUGAAAUCUCUUUGGUGACUUUGUUGACCGUUGACUAAGUACCUCCUCGCCAGUGUCAUCCUCAGGCGAAAAACCUUCACAUCCUCCCUUGCAAGCCCCUGUAACAUCAAGCAUAUAUGGCCGCAUCUUCACCACUACGAUGAUAACCAAACGCAUUGUAGGUUUUUGGCACCGUUCGUUUCGUACUCAGUGUGCCUUUAUCCACCUUCAAGUCGUUCGUUGUCUUAAAAUUCCUGCUGUUAUCCUUGUACCUUGUGUCCACCUUCUCCUUGUCUUCUUCUGCCCCGGGUUUAUUUAGCCAUUUAGCCGUUAUACAAUCCAGGUCAGAUUGGUCCUUAACACAAAGAAAAUCUCUCCAUUUUCGCGCAACCUAAUUCGUCGGGAUUGUGAACAACAAGUCGCAGUAUUUAUCUGCGUGUCCUUUAAUUUCAGAGAUAUAACAGAAAUUCUGAAGACGUUCAUAUCGGUACUUGCAUGUGGCGUUAAUCGCUCCAUCAAGUCUGACUUUCUUUUCUCUUCGAAGCGGUUUGCGGAUAUCGAGCUCCACCAAAAUUCGGAGAGAAACUCCUGCUUGUGAUUUCUUAUGAUGGGUGGGUCGUAUUCAUGGUAUUUGCCCGCAGAAUUUCCAGGAACUCACUUACAGAUUCAGAAAAAUACCCCCAUAAAAGAUCGUGGAUUUGAAUCCAGACAAGGACUCGAUACAGGUCUACCUGUUUCGACUCUUCACCUACCUGGAGUUCAUGCAGGAUCAAGAGGCUGCCAUGAUAGUGCCAUGGUCUGUCCUUUAGAAUUUUUUGUAUAUCCAGUUUAUGAUGAACGCGAAACAGAUAUCGGCCGCCUCACAGAUUCUCCACUACCACUGUGCUACCCUGCUUCCACCUGAUAUCCAUGGUGUGUUUCAUUGCCUGAAAGUUGACUUGCUUGUCUCCUAGGAAAGAUUCAACCAAACAGAGAGGGUAGGCAUGAGGUGGCGGGGUGGGUACUAGUUCCGUUAAGUGGGACUCCUCGUCGUCGCUUUCCGCCAAACUCAGAUUCUCGACUUGGAUUGUGACAAGAUCAUCGGGAUGUGCUAUAUACCGACGAGAAAAGCCUUCUUCAUUUGUUCAUUGAAGUCAUUGAUGGCUCCAACAUAUUUCCUUGUUAUAAUUAGAUCAUCGACGUAGGUUCUGUUGCAGUCUGACCCUCUUGCUUUCAAUAUCAGUUGAAACUGUUUCAACAAGAAAAUAUGAUUAAGCUCCCUUUAUAACGUUCAGAGUUAGUUCAGUACCUGUAUGUACUUAGCAUAGAAUGCAUGCAACAAGAGACCACUAAUUCAGGACAUGCAUGCAUCAUUCAUUCUUCAGAAGCUUCAAUCUCAGUAAACAAACACAAGUAGUUUAUUGAGUUAACACAAUCAGCAAUGAAUCUUUUCAGUCACAAAGAAACAGAAAAGUAACUUUAAAUGACAACUCGACAACCUUAAACACACAGAGUCUUAGACGUCGAUUCGUGCCUCUUGAUCGACUCUGUUAGGCUCUAGCUUUACUCCAGCAUCCAGAGUUGUCCAAUCAAGCCUUCAAUCGAUGCAGCUCCAGCUUCAGUCGUGCAGAAAUCCUUCAGACGAAACUCCAAGCUUUGACGUGUUUAUCUCCAGUUGAGAAGCGCAUCGGGACGAUUUGCAGCCUUUGGCUUUUAUCGACGUCGUGGCUUGCCUUCAUUCAGAAGCGCACCGGGACGAUUUACAGCCUCUGGCUUUCAUCGACGUCGUGGCUUGCCUUCAUUUAAUGAAGCUAGUAAGGUCGAAGCUUCCCUCUUUCCAAACUCGACUUCGAGUUCUUCGCAUCGCGGCCGCCUUCUCCUUUUUGUUUCUGUGAAUGAAAAUGCCAAUUAGGGUUAGGAUCAAUUCACGACGCUAAUGUUCGCUGCUUCUCUUGAAUGACAGCUUGGGUUGGGCUUCUGUCAGUGGGCUGUUCAUGGGCCGAAACUUGAGCCUUAUCACUCAGGCUUGGUUUACGUCAACAAGCUCCCCCUAAGCCUGAUGAUGGCUCACUCCUUGCACAAAGAUUCAUUAUAUGAUCUUUAUGAUAUUGAUUUCGGGAUCCUGCAAAAACCAGUCUUUGUAUAUGCCAUUAAGUGACCAUGAUAAUGAGCAAUAGUACUGGGGACCUUUAGAUAAAAAGAUAAACUACAUUGAAUUUAACAGCAGCAAAAAUAUAAAGCAGAGAACUGCGACAGGAACAUAAUCAGUGUUUAACCGAUCCUGGAAAUGAGCAACAGUACUGGUAACUUUUAGAUAAAAAGAUAAACUACUUUGAAAUUAACUGCAGCAGAAACAUAAAGUAGAGAACUGCUACAAGAACAAAAAGCAUAUACAAAAGAAAUUCUAGAACAGCAACACAAACAUGAAACAAGACAUAGCACCAAACGAACAAUCCCUAUCAGGUAUCAAAGACCUAGCUACAUGCCACUGGUUGGAGAAUGACUAGACAGAGAAAGAUCAUCAGCACCAGCUGCAUCAAGGCCUUCCUGAAUUUCCAGGUUUCGUUCAAUCUCAUUCGCAAGGUUAUCUACUUCAUCGUCUGAAAAGUUGAGGUCAUGAAGAGGUUCUCCCCCUGAGCCAGAGGCAGGUUGAAGAUGAUCCCAACCAACUUCACGAAGCACGUGACUCGGACGAAGAUUGUGCAGAGGAGCCUCAAGAGAAAAAACACCAUGAAUAGGGACACCGAGGGCAUAGAGAAGAUAGGAGAUGUCAGGCCCAAAAGGAAGAUCUCCAGGAAAGGCACGAUUCCCAUAAGAAACCAUAGAAGCAAACAUUAGGCAGCUGUAAUCUGUUUGAAAAUUGAAGAUGGCACAAUGCAUGAUCCAAGUGUCCAGACUCGUAACUAGAAAUUUCCCAGCUGAUCGAGGAAGAAAGACCCUGGUAAUAAAGAAAUGAAGGACUUUCAAAUAGUCGGACAGCAUGGAGAUGAUGGAGAGAGGUCGAGCUGUAGGAGGAGCAUUGGUCCAUCGAGCAAGGACAACAGAAGCAUCAAAGGGAAUUUUACAGAGAUCAGAGUCAUGAAAAAUUGAAGCACCCCCAGAAGGAAUUCCAAGAACAGUUGAGAGGAGUCGAGGAGUGAUUACAAUGCGAUAUCCUGCAACGAUGGUACUGAAUCGCCCGUCCUGUAGAGAGCCUUCCAGCUGUAGGUUAACAUAGAAUUGUCGAACUGCAGCAGGGAAGAACUGAUGACGUUGAUGGAGGGCAAGAGACCCCCAUCCAAGAUUCCCAAUAAGAGCAGAGGGAUUAAGACCAUAACGAUCAAAGGAGGCUGGAUCGACAUGAACAGAUGGAAGAAUAGGACGAUCAAUGAAAGAUUCAAGAUAAAAAGCCUGAUGUUCACAACUACGCAUAUGAUCGUUAAUGAAGAGUACAUGGCUCCGAGCUAGAGAAGACAACAUAUGAUUGUAUGAAUUCAUGAUUCGGGACAGAAAAGAAUGAGAAGGAAAGGUGGAGAAGGAGAGCUAUAUAAAGAGAAAUAGAAAUCCGAAUUCCGUUAGGCACAAGGAAAAGGAUCCGAUACUGAAUCGGAAAAGGACAAGGAUCAGUAAAUAGGAAAAGUAAAUAUGCACAAGUUCAAAACGGAGACGAAUGGAAAACUAAAUAAGAGAAGCUAUGCCUGGUAUACAAAAUAGGAGAAAUCAGAUGUGUAGUUUUAGUGAUUCACAGACAGAAAAAUUUUAAGCACGUACCUCGAUGGUGGCCACAUCGGCUAGUGAGAUGAUACCUAAAGACUUUCGGAGAAAUAGAAAUCGAUCAAUAGGCAAAGGUUUAGUAAAAAUGUCUGCCAACUGUGAUUCAGUAGCUAUAAAUGUAAGUUCAAUUUCUUUACUAGCGACAAGAUCUCGAAUGAAAUGAUGCCUAAUAUCUGUAUGCUUGGUACGAGAAUGGUACACAGCGUUUUUUGUCAUAUUGAUGGCACUAGUAUUGUCACAUAAAAGAGGAGUGGUGGAUAGAGAAACUCCAAAAUCUCGAAGUUGAGCUUUUAACCACAGGAUUUGUGUGCAGCAACUUCCAGCAGCAACAUAUUCUGCUUCAGCAGUAGAUAAUGCAAUGGAGCUUUGUUUUUUACUAAACCAAGAAACAAGAGAAGCUCCUAGAAACUGACACGUACCAGACGUGCUUUUGCGAUCAACGACAUUGCCAGCAAAAUCAGAAUCGGAAAAGCCUAUCAGGUCCAUAGAUCCCUCAGCAGGAUACCACAGUCCCAAUUCAAGAGUUCCAGAGAGAUAUCUAAAAAUUCUUUUUACAGUCUUUAGAUGAGUGUCAUGAGGUUUACUUUGAAAACGAGCACAAACACCUACACUAAAUGCAAUGUCAGGUCUGCUAGCAGUGAGAUAGAGAAGAGAUCCUAUCAUUCCUCGAUUUAAUUUCUCGUUAACAGGUUUUCCAGGAGCAUCAUUAUGUAUUUUAACAGAAGUGGGCAUUGGAGUAGCACAAUUUUUUAUUAAGGGAUAGUCAAACUUGGUUAGCAUAUUUUUACAAUAUUUAGUCUGACUCAGAAAAAUACCAGAUUGAGUUUGCUUGAUUUGCAAUCCCAUAAAGGAAGAAAGUUCCCCAAUUAAGCUCAUUUCAAAUGCGUCCUGCAUUGUUUUACUAAAUUCCAUACUUAGACUUUCGUUUUGUGAACCAAAAAUGAUAUCAUCAACAUAUACUUGAACAAUAAGAAGACAGGAUUCUACUGUUUUUAUAAAAAGUGUGUUGUCCACUAAACCUCUGGUGAACCCGUGAGAAAUUAGAAAUGAACUUAGUUUGUCGUACCAGGCUCUAGGAGCCUGUUUUAAACCAUAUAGAGCCUUAUUUAGUUUAUACACGUGAUGAGGAAAUGCAUGAUUUUCAAAACCAGGUGGUUGAGAGACAUAAACUUGUUCUUGUAAAUCCCCAUUUAGAAAGGCAUUUUUAACAUCCAUUUGAUAAAGCUUGAAACGAUUUAUACUGGCAAACGCACACAAAAGACGAAUGGCUUCUAGUCUAGCUAAUGGAGCAAAAGUUUCAUCAAAAUCAAUACCUUCCUCUUGAUCGUAUCCUUGACCAACUAGCCUAGCCUUGUUUUUUAUUAUAACUCCCUUAUUGUCAGUUUUGUUUCUAAAUACCCAUUUAGUUCCUAGAAUUGUUCUAUUUGUAGGCUUAGGAACAAGACUCCAGACACACAAUCUAUCAAACUGAACCAUCUCCUCAUUCAUAGCUAGAUUCCAGUCAUCAUCUAAUAAGGCUUCUUUCACAUUUUUUGGUUCUAAAAUUGACACAAAUGCAGAAUGAGAUGUUUGGGAGCGAGUAAUUAGACGAUCGUUAAUAUUUCCGAUUACCUGGGUAGGAGGAUGUCUCUUCUGUAUGUGCUGGGGAACUUGAAGCUGAUCCUGUGUGUUUGUUUGAGGGGAUGAUGUCUCACGGUUUCCAUCAUUGAGAGUGUUGGCUUCCUGAUGUGUGUUCAGCUCUGCUUCAGAGUGAUCAGUCUGGCCAGUAUUUGUUUGUGAUUGGAGCCUGGGGGCGUAGUUAGUAUAAGACAGUUCUAUAGUAUCAUCAUUAGCUCCCUGCACCUCAUGAACAGAAUUAGUAUUCUCAUCAAAUAUCACAUUAACUGAUUCUUCCACUUUAUUAGAUUGCUUAUUGAAGACUCUAUAAGCUCGACUGUGAGCAGAGUAGCCUAGAAAGAUCCCUUCAUCUGAUUUAGCGUCAAAUUUACCUAGGUGAUCUUUAGUGUUAAGGAUAAAGCAUUUGCAUCCAAAAGGCUUAAAAUAUCCUAUACUAGGUUUUUUAUUUUUCCAGAGCUCAUAAGGAGUUUUAUUAUACUUGGAACGAAUGAGAGCCCUAUUUGUAACAUAGCAGGCUGUGUUAACAGCUUCUGCCCAGAAUUUAGAACUAACGACAAAGUCAUUUAACAUGGUUCUAGCGAUUUCUAUUAAGGUUCUAUUUUUUCGUUCAACUACUCCAUUUUGUUGAGGAGUCCUUGGAGCUGAAAAGUUAUGCUCAAUUCCUAGAGAUACACACAAAUUAUUGAAUUCUUGAUUUACGAAUUCUCCACCAUUAUCACUACGAAUUUUAACAAUAGUUUGCUGUUUCUCGUUUUGAACAGUUGAGACAAAUACCCUAAAUUUGUGAAAAGUUUCAUUUUUAGAUGAAAGAAAGUAGACCCAAGUAAAUCUUGAAAAAUCAUCGACUAAGACAAAACCAUAGUAUUUUCCACUUAUAGCCAUACAGUUUGAGGGUCCAAACAGAUCAAGAUGAAUACAGUUUGAGGGUCCAAACAGAUCAAGAUGAAUACAGUUUGAGGGUCCAAACAGAUCAAGAUGAAUACAGUUUGAGGGUCCAAACAGAUCAAGAUGAAUACAGUUUGAGGGUCCAAACAGAUCAAGAUGAAUACAGUUUGAGGGUCCAAACAGAUCAAGAUGAAUACAGUUUGAGGGUCCAAACAGAUCAAGAUGAAUACAGUUUGAGGGUCCAAACAGAUCAAGAUGAAUACAGUUUGAGGGUCCAAACAGAUCAAGAUGAAUACAGUUUGAGGGUCCAAACAGAUCAAGAUGAAUACAGUUUGAGGGUCCAAACAGAUCAAGAUGAAUACAGUUUGAGGGUCCAAACAGAUCAAGAUGAAUACAGUUUGAGGGUCCAAACAGAUCAAGAUGAAUACAGUUUGAGGGUCCAAACAGAUCAAGAUGAAUACAGUUUGAGGGUCCAAACAGAUCAAGAUGAAGUAAUUCUAGAGUUCGAGAGGUGGUUACAUCAAUUUUAGAUUUGAAACU
rnacentral:lncRNA from 1 species